rnacentral:rRNA from 1 species
AGUAUAGCACUUUGUACUGUGAACUGCGAAUGGGCUCAUUAAAUCAGUUAUCGUUUAUUUGAUAGUACCUUACUACAUGGAUACCUGUGGUAAUUCUAGAGCUAAUACAUCGCUAAAAACCCCGACUUCAGGAAGGGGUGUAUUUAUUAGAUAAAAAACCAACGCCCUUCGGGGCUCCUUGGUGAAUCAUAAUAACUUAACGAAUCGCAUGGCCUUGCGCCGGCGAUGGUUCAUUCAAAUUUCUGCCCUAUCAACUUUCGAUGGUAGGAUAGUGGCCUACCAUGGUGGCAACGGGUAACGGGGAAUUAGGGUUCGAUUCCGGAGAGGGAGCCUGAGAAACGGCUACCACAUCCAAGGAAGGCAGCAGGCGCGCAAAUUACCCAAUCCCGAUACGGGGAGGUAGUGACAAUAAAUACUGAUACGGGGCUCUUUUGGGUCUCGUAAUUGGAAUGAGAACAAUUUAAAUCCCUUAACGAGGAACAAUUGGAGGGCAAGUCUGGUGCCAGCAGCCGCGGUAAUUCCAGCUCCAAUAGCGUAUAUUAAAGUUGUUGCAGUUAAAAAGCUCGUAGUUGAACCUUGGGUCUGGCUGGCCGGUCCGCCUCACCGCGAGUACUGGUCCGGCUGGACCUUUCCUUCUGGGGAACCUCAUGGCCUUCACUGGCUGUGGGGGGAACCAGGACUUUUACUGUGAAAAAAUUAGAGUGUUCAAAGCAGGCCUUUGCUCGAAUACAUUAGCAUGGAAUAAUAGAAUAGGACGUGUGGUUCUAUUUUUGUUGGUUUCUAGGACCGCCGUAAUGAUUAAUAGGGAUAGUCGGGGGGCGUCAGUAUUCAGCUGUCAGAGGUGAAAUUCUUGGAUUUGCUGAAGACUAACUACUGCGAAAGCAUCGCCCAAGGAUGUUUUCAUUAAUCAGGGAACGAAAGUUAGGGGGAUCGAAGACGAUCAGAUACCCGUCGUAGUCUUAACCAUAAACUAUGCCGACUAGGGAUCGGGACGGGAUUCUAUAAUGACCCGUUCGGCACCUUACGAGAAAUCAAAGUUUUUUGGUUCUUGGGGGGGGAAUUAUGGUCCCAAGGCUGAAACUUAAAGAAUUUGACGGAAGGCACCACAAGGCGUGGAACCUGCGGCUUAAUUUGACUCAACACGGGGAAACUCACCAGGUCCCAACAAAAUUAAGGAUUGACCAAAUUGAGAACUCUUUCUUGAUCUUUUUUGAAGGGGGGGCCAGGGCCGUCUUAAUUGUGGUGGAAUGAAUUUUUUCUUGCUUAUUCUGUUUAAAAAACAAAAAACUCCGCCCCUUAAUAAACCCCGCGCCCAUUUGUGUUCCUCGG